GCCAGGUGGUGGUGGCGCAGGCCUUUAAUCCCAGCACUCGGGAGGCAGAGGCAAGCGGAUCUCUGAGUUCGAGACCAGCCUGGUCUACAAGAGCUAGUUCCAGGAAAGCCUCCAAAGCCACAGAGAAACCCUGUCUCGAGGAUUUUUUGUUUUUGUUUUUAUUUUGAGGCAGGGUUUCUCUGUGGCUUUGGAGGCUGUCCUGGAACUAGCUCUUGUAGACCAGGCUGGUCUCGAACUCACAGAGAGAUCCACCUGCCUCUG
ensembl:misc_RNA Metazoa_SRP Metazoan signal recognition particle RNA